rnacentral:rRNA from 1 species
AAUUCAAGUGCUAAAGUGCAUCUGGUGGAUGCCUUGGCGAUCAGAGGCGAUGAAGGACGUGGUACGCUGCGAUAAGUUACGGUGAGUUGCGAACAAACUUUGACCCGUAAAUUUCCGAAUGGGGAAACCCUACCUUAAUUGGUAAUCUUGAACUGAAUACAUAGGUUCCUGAAGCAAACCCGGAGAAUUGAAACAUCUUAGUACCCGGAGGAAAAGACAUCAACCGAGAUUCCCUUAGUAGCGGCGAGCGAACGGGGAACAGCCCAGUGCUGUUUUUGUAAAAAUUAGAAGUAGUUGGGAACCUACGCCAUAGCGGGUGAUAGCCCCGUAUAAGUAAAAAGCAAUUACAGCCUCGAGUAAGGCGGGACACGAGAAAUCCUGUCUGAACAUAGGGGGACCAUCCUCUAAGGCUAAAUACUCCUGAUCGACCGAUAGUGAACCAGUACUGUGAAGGAACGGUGAAAAGAACCUCGAGAGGGGAGUGAAACAGACCUGAAACCGGAUGCAUACAAACAGUAGGAGCGGACUAGUUCCGUGACUGCGUACCUUUUGUAUAAUGGGUCCGCGAGUUAGUCUUGCAGGCGAGCUUAAGCCGAUAGGUGGAGGCGUAGCGAAAGCGAGUCCGAAAUGGGCGUUAGUUUGCAGGAUUAGAUCCGAAACCCGGCGAUCUAGCCAUGGGCAGGGUGAAGUCAAGGUAACACUUGAUGGAGGCCCGAACCGAUCAAUGUUGAAAAAUUGUCGGAUGACCUGUGGUUAGGGGUGAAAGGCCAAUCAAGCCGGGUAAUAGCUGAUUCUCUGCGAAAUCUAUUUAGGUAGAGCGUCAUACGAAUACCAUCGGGGGUAGAGCACUGGAUGGGCUAGGGGGUCGCAAGAUCUACCAAACCUAACCAAACUCCGAAUACCGAUGAGUACUAUAUGGCAGACACACGGCGGGUGAUAACGUCCGUCGUGAAAAGGGAAAAAACCCAGACCACCAGCUAAGGUCCCCAAAUCAUGACUAAGUGGGAAAGGAAGUUGGAUUUCCAUGACAACCAGGAAGUUGGCUUAGAAGCAGCCAUCUUUUAAAGAAAGCGUAAUAGCUCACUGGUCUAAUCAAGAGAUCCGGCGCCGAAGAUGUACCGGGGCUAAAGUCAUGUACCGAAGCUGUGGAUUUACACGUAUGUGUAAGUGGUAGCAGAGCGUUCCGUAGGCCUGCGAAGGUAUCCCGUGAGGGGUGCUGGAGGUAUCGGAAGUGAGAAUGCGGACAUAAGUAGCGAUAAACAGGGUGAGAGACCCUGUCGCCGAAAUCCCAAGGGUUCCUGUCCAAUGUUAAUCAGGGCAGGGUGAGCCGGCUCCUAAGGCGAGGCCGAAUGGCGUAGUCGAUGGGAAUACAGUUAAUAUUCUGUAGCCUGCUGGAAGUGACGGUGGCGGUAACUUGUUUCUCCUUAUUGGAUUGGAGAGGCGAGGAACGACAUCCAGGAAAUAACUCCAGCUUAUAGACCGUACCCCAAACCGACACAGGUGGGAUAGUAGAGAAUACUAAGGCGCUUGAGAGAAUUAUGUUGAAGGAACUCGGCAAAUUACACCCGUAACUUCGGAAGAAGGGUGACCCAUAGGGUGGCAACACUUUAUGGGUGGCACAAAAAUGGGGGUAGCGACUGUUUAUCAAAAACACAGGGCUCUGCGAAAUCGGUAAGAUGACGUAUAGGGUCUGACUCCUGCCCGGUGCCGGAAGGUUAAAAGGAGAUGUUAACGCAUUGAAUUGAAGCCCCGGUAAACGGCGGCCGUAACUAUAACGGUCCUAAGGUAGCGAAAUUCCUUGUCGGGUAAGUUCCGACCUGCACGAAUGGAGUAACGACUUCCCCACUGUCUCCAACAUAAACUCAGCGAAAUUGGAUUCCCCGUGAAGAUACGGGGUUCCCGCGGCUAGACGGAAAGACCCUAUGAACCUUUACUAUAACUUUGCAGUGGCCGUACGAUUGUCAUGUGUAGGAUAGGUGGGAGAUUAUGAAGCGGGGGCGCCAGCCUUCGUGGAAUCAUCCUUGAAAUACCACCCUUGACCUUCGUACUGUCUAACUAUAACCGGUAUAUCCCGGUUUAGGACCCUGCAUGGCGGGUAGUUUGACUGGGGCGGUCGCCUCCUAAAGAGUAACGGAGGCGCGCGAUGGUAAGCUCAAGACGGUCGGAAAUCGUCUUCAAGAGUGCAAUGGCAUAAGCUUGCCUGACUGUGAGACUGACAAGUCGAGCAGAGAGGAAACUCGGUCAUAGUGAUCCGGUGGUCCCGUAUGGAAGGGCCAUCGCUCAACGGAUAAAAGGUACUCUAGGGAUAACAGGCUGAUAGCGCCCAAGCGUCCCCAGCGACGGCGCUGUUUGGCACCUCGAUGUCGGCUCAUCUCAUCCUGGGGCUGGAGAAGGUCCCAAGGGUAUGGCUGUUCGCCAUUUAAAGAGGUACGUGAGCUGGGUUCAGAACGUCGUGAGACAGUUUGGUCCCUAUCUACCGUGGGUGUUGGAUACUUGAGAGGAUCUGUCCUUAGUACGAGAGGACCGGGAUGGACGCACCUCUGGUGUACCUGUUGUCACGCCAGUGGCAUCGCAGGGUAGCUAUGUGCGGAACGGAUAAACGCUGAAAGCAUCUAAGCGUGAAACCGACCUCAAAACUAGGUAUCCCUAUCAGAGCCGUGGAAGACCACCACGUUGAUAGGCUGGAUGUGGAAGAACCGUAAGGUUUGCAGCUAACCAGUACUAAUUGCUCGAUCGGCUUGAAUUCCACGC